rnacentral:rRNA from 1 species
AGACGUCUACAUUAGAUACCCCGGUAGUCCCAGCCGUAAACUAUGCGCGUUAGGUGUAUCGGUGACCACGAGUUACCGAGGUGCCGAAGGGAAACCGUGAAACGUGCCGCCUGGGAAGUACGGUCGCAAGGCUGAAACUUAAAGGAAUUGGCGGGGGAGCACAACGACGGGUGGAGCCUGCGGUUUAAUUGGACUCAACGCCGGACAACUCACCGGGGACGACAGCAAUAUGUAGGCCAGGCUGAAGACCUUGCCUGAAUCGCUG